CCUACGGGCGGCAGCAGUGGGGAAUAUUGCGCAAUGGGCGAAAGCCUGACGCAGCGACGCCGCGUGAGGGAUGAAGGUCUUCGGAUCGUAAACCUCUGUCAGCAGGGAAGAACGGUCACUGUGCUAAUCAGCAGUGAAUUGACGGUACCUGCAAAGGAAGCACCGGCUAACUCCGUGCCAGCAGCCGCGGUAAUACGGAGGGUGCGAGCGUUAAUCGGAAUUACGGGGCGUAAAGCGCUCGUAGGCGGUAUGUCAAGUCAAGGGUGAAAUUCCCGCGCUCAACGUGGGAACUGCCUUUGAAACUGGCAAACUGGAGUGUGGGAGAGGAUAGUGGAAUUCCAGGUGUAGGAGUAAAAGCCGUAGAUAUCUGGAGGAACAUCAGUGGCGAAGGCGACUAUCUGGCACAUAACUGACGCUGAGGAGCGAAAGCGUGGGUAGCAAACAGGAUUAGAUACCCGUGUAGUC
rnacentral:rRNA from 1 species